rnacentral:rRNA from 1 species
UACGUAGGGGGGCAAGCGUUGUCCGGAAUCAUUGGGCGUAAAGCGCGUGUAGGCGGCCCGAUAAGUCCGCUGUGAAAGUCCAGGGCUCAACCCUGGAAUGCCGGUGGAUACUGUCGGGCUAGAGUCCGGAAGAGGCGAGUGGAAUUCCUGGUGUAGCGGUGAAAUGCGCAGGUAUCAGGAGGAACACCGGUGGCGAAGGCGGAUCUCUGGGCCGUAACUGACGCUGAGGAGCGAAAGCAUGGGGAGCGAACAGG